rnacentral:rRNA from 1 species
AGAGUUUGAUUCUGGCUCAGGACGAACGCUGGCGGCGUGCCUAACACAUGCAAGUCGAACGGGGUUAUACGGCGGAAAGCUUCGGCAGGAAGCUGUAUAAUCUAGUGGCGAACGGGUGAGUAACGCGUGAGGAACCUGCCUCAAACAGGGGGAUAACACUUGGAAACAGGUGCUAAUACCGCAUAAGACCACAGAGCCGCAUGACUCAGGGGUCAAAGCUCCGGCGGUUUGAGAUGGACUCGCGUCCCAUUAGGUAGUUGGUGAGGCAACGGCUCACCAAGCCGACGAUGGGUAGCCGAGCUGAGAGGCUGAUCGGCCACACUGGGACUGAGACACGGCCCAG